GGAGAGAUGGCUGAGCGGUCGAAAGCGGCAGUCUUGAAAACUGUUGUACCUCCGGGUACCGCGGGUUCGAAUCCUGCUCUCUCCG
rnacentral:tRNA from 1 species